GUUUUUAACUUCUAAGAAUUAAAUAAUCACACAAUACCACCAAAUAAACCAAUAUCCGGCAACGACGCCAAUUUUUCAUCCUUACAAAAAAUAGUGGUUAAAGAUUAUGGGUUAAG